ACCUCUCCCAUCUCUAUGAGGAAGGAGUCGAUGUAGUCUCGUGGAGAUGACGGGUCGAGGUUUUCUCUGUGUUCCUUGAUCCGAAUGUCUACAAAGUCAAGCAGCUUCUGUAAGAGCGUGAAUAUUUUUUUAUGUGGUCCAGGGAUCCAC